rnacentral:rRNA from 1 species
CCUACGGGAGGCAGCAGUGAGGAAUAUUGGUCAAUGGACGAGAGUCUGAUGGCGCAACGCCGCGUGCAGGAUGAAGGCCUUCGGGUUGUAAACUGCUUUUAUAAGCGAGAAAUAUGAUGGUAACUUAUGAAUAAGGAUCGGCUAACUACGUGCCAGCAGCCGCGGUCAUACGUAGGAUCCGAGCAUUAUCCGGAGUGACUGGGUGUAAAGAGUUGCGUAGGUGGCAUAAUAAGUAGCUAGUGAAAUCUGGUGGCUCAACCAUUCAGACUAUUAGCUAAACUGUUAAGCUCGAGACCGUUAGGGGUAACUGGAAUUUCUAGUGUAGGAGUGAAAUCCGUAGAUAUUAGAAGGAACACCAAUAGCGUAGGCAGGUUGCUGGGACGGUUCUGACACUAAGGCACGAAAGCGUAGGGAGCAAACGGGAUUAGAUACCCUUGUAGUC